CCCCUCCUCUCGCAUGAUAGCCACACUAACGCUGCUCGCAUCAUAUUUCAGAUUCCUUCUACGACACAUUUCACACCAUUUCCAGCGUCAUGUUCUUCUGCCAGAUCCUGGCAGUUGUCGAGGUCCUCAACGCUGCUUUUGGGCUGGUCAGGACAAGUGUGACCCCAAAUCUUAUACAGUUGUUUGGGAGGAAUUUCGUCCUCUUCGUUAUUUUUGGUUGCUUGGAAGAAAUGCAGAAUAAGCCGGUGGUCUUCUUUGUUUUCUAUCUGUGGAGUGCCAUUGAAAUAUUUAGGUAGGUCA